GGAAAAACGCGAUGUUGCCGAUUCGUUUGACCGAAAGUGCAGUUUUGACUACGACUGUCCCGGUGUCAAGAAAUGCUGUUUAAAGGGUCGCGGUAACCUAUGCCUGACAUCAACACGUAAAACUUGCACGAGAAACGGAAUCAUCUAUAAAGAAGGUGAAAGUGUGCCACCAAACGGCAAAUGUCAAACGGGCUGCAAGUGUCAAGCUGGUGAAGUGAAUUGUUUGCUAAUACCUUGUUUUCCGGAUGAGCGUGACAUUCCCCUGG